GACGAACGCUGGCGGCGUGCUUAACACAUGCAAGUCGAACGGUAAGGCCCUUCGGGGUACACGAGUGGCGAACGGGUGAGUAACACGUGGGUGAUCUGCCCUGCACUUCGGGGUAAGCCUGGGAAACUGGGUCUAAUACCGGAUAGGACCACUGCCUGCAUGGGUGGUGGUGGAAAGCUUUUGCGGUGUGGGAUGGGCCCGCGGCCUAUCAGCUUGUUGGUGGGGUGAUGGCCUACCAAGGCGACGACGGGUAGCCGGCCUGAGAGGGUGACCGGCCACACUGGGACUGAGAUACGGCCCAGACUCCUACGGGAGGCAGCAGUGGGGAAUAUUGCACAAUGGGCGCAAGCCUGAUGCAGCGACGCCGCGUGAGGGAUGACGGCCUUCGGGUUGUAAACCUCUUUCAGCACCGACGAAGCGCAAGUGACGGUAGGUGCAGAAGAAGGACCGGCCAACCACGUGCCAGCCGCCGCAGUAA
rnacentral:rRNA from 1 species